ensembl:snRNA U6 U6 spliceosomal RNA
GUGUUUGCUUCGGCAGCACGUAUACUAACGUUGGAACGAUACAGAGAAGAUUAGCAUGGCCCCUGUCCAAGGAUGACAUGCAAAUUCAUGAAGCAUUCCAUAUUUUU